rnacentral:rRNA from 1 species
UACGUAGGGGGCAAGCGUUGUCCGGAUUCAUUGGGCGUAAAGAGCGUGUAGGCGGCCAGGUAGGUCGGUUGUGAAAACUGGAGGCUCAACCUUCAGAGGUCGACCGAAACCAUCUGGCUAGAGUCCGGGAGAGGAGAGUGGAAUUCCUGGUGGAGCGGUGAAAUGCGCAGAGAUCAGGAGGAACACCCGUAGCGAAGGCGGCACUCUGGGCCGAUACUGACACUGAGGAGCGAAAGCGUGGGGAGCGAACAGG